rnacentral:rRNA from 1 species
AUUGAACGCUGGCGGCAGGCCUAACACAUGCAAGUCGAACGGUAACAGGAAGAAGCUUGCUUCUUUGCUGACGAGUGGCGGACGGGUGAGUAAUGUCUGGGAAACUGCCUGAUGGAGGGGGAUAACUACUGGAAACGGUAGCUAAUACCGCAUAAUGUCGCAAGACCAAAGAGGGGGACCUUCGGGCCUCUUGCCAUCGGAUGUGCCCAGAUGGGAUUAGCUAGUAGGUGGGGUAACGGCUCACCUAGGCGACGAUCCCUAGCUGGUCUGAGAGGAUGACCAGCCACACUGGAACUGAGACACGGUCCAUACUCCUACGGGAGGCAGCAGUGGGGAAUAUUGCACAAUGGGCGCAAGCCUGAUGCAGCUAUGCCGCGUGUAUGAAGAAGGCCUUCGGGUUGUAAAGUACUUUCAGCGGGGAGGAAGGGAGUAAAGUUAAUACCUUUGCUCAUUGACGUUACCCGCAGAAGAAGCGCCGGCUAACUCCGUG